AGAAACAAGAGCACUGGCUGAAGUGGAUGGGGUGGCUUCCAUUGCACCUCUUUUUUUCAUGGAUUCUCACCCAGCACAACUCGCAUUGCAGCUGCAGCUGUGUGCACAGUUUGGUGCAAACUCAGACUCAUCCGAAGUUAGUGGAGUGUGAUGGGAUGCUCAGUUUUAUGUUCAGUUUUAUGUGUCAGCUUGGUUAGGCUGCAAUGCCCAGUGUUACGGUCAAACACUUGUCUAGAUGUUAAUGUAAAGGUAUAUUUUAGCUGUGACCAAAGGGCAGAGCUAAGAGCCUAGGUGGCAAAGUUAAGCCAAAAGCCUUAGGAGACGUGAAUGAGUGAAACAUGUCUAAGGACCAGGAAGGAUCCUAAGCAAGGAGCAUGCCCUUUUUCCAGUCUGGAUUAUCCUAGUGGGCCAUAAAUGUAAUCACAAGUAUCCCCAUAUGAGAGAGAUCCAGGAAGUUUCAGCACAGGGUCUAGGCCUGGGCGUUGUGCGAGUAGCUGCAGGCCUGGGGUGGACACAGCUCCCAGCCAGCCUCCAUCCCACUGCACAGACAAUGCAGACAUCUGUCCGGGUCCCUCUGCCAGCUGAGAAAACACAUGAUAAGGGAAGCAUUUCCUUAUUUGUCAACAGGGCAGUGGCGGGUUUGACACGGCUGCCAGCUCUGCCAACUCCCACAGUGCUCCUGUUCUCCUUAGAUGUGAGGCCCAGAGCAGUCUGACUGGCAUGACCCUGGUGUCCCACAGCCAAGUGCCAGUGCUUAGAGCUGCGUUUUCACAAAAGCUCACAACAGUC
rnacentral:lncRNA from 1 species